rnacentral:rRNA from 1 species
AUACGGAGGGUGCAAGCGUUACUCGGAAUCACUGGGCGUAAAGCGCGCGCAGGCGGCUAUUUAAGUUGGAUGUGAAAGCCUACGGCUCAACCGUAGAACUGCAUCCAAAACUAUUUAGCUAGAGUGCGGGAGAGGAAGAUGGAAUUAGUUGUGUAGGGGUAAAAUCCGUAGAGAUAACUAGGAAUACCAAAAGCGAAGGCAAUCUUCUGGAACACUACUGACGCUGAGGCGCGAAAGCGUGGGGAGCAAACGGGAUUAGAAACCCGAGUAGUCC